AUUGCCUCAGUAACGGCGAGUGAAGCGGCAACAGCUCAAAUUUGAAAUCUGGCCCCAGGCCCGAGUUGUAAUUUGCAGAGGAUGCUUUUGGCGCGGUGCCUUCCGAGUUCCCUGGAACGGGACGCCAUAGAGGGUGAGAGCCCCGUCUGGUUGGACACCAAGCCUUUGUAAAGCUCCUUCGACGAGUCGAGUAGUUUGGGAAUGCUGCUCUAAAUGGGAGGUACAUGUCUUCUAAAGCUAAAUACCGGCCAGAGACCGAUAGCGCACAAGUAGAGUGAUCGAAAGAUGAAAAGCACUUUGGAAAGAGAGUUAAACAGCACGUGAAAUUGUUAAAAGGGAAGCGUUUAUGACCAGACGUGGGCCGGUUAAUCAUCCAGCGUUCUCGCUGGUGCACUUUGCCGGUCCAGGCCAGCAUCAGUUCGUUGCGGGGGAUAAAGGCUUUGGGAAUGUAGCUCUUCGGAGUGUUAUAGCCCUCUGCGUAAUACCCUGCGGCGGACUGAGGUUCGCGCUCUGCAAGGAUGCUGGCGUAAUGGUCAUCAACGACCCGUCUUGAAACACGGACCAAGGAGUCGUCUUCGUAUGCGAGUGUUCGGGUGUAAAACCCCUACGCGAAAUGAAAGUGAACGCAGGUGAGAGCUUCGGCGCAUCAUCGACCGAUCCUGAUGUUCUCGGAUGGAUUUGAGUAAGAGCAUACGGGGCCGGACCCGAAAGAAGGUGAACUAUGCCUGUAUAGGGUGAAGCCAGAGGAAACUCUGGUGGAGGCUCGCAGCGGUUCUGACGUGCAAAUCGAUCGUCAAAUAUGGGCAUGGGGGCGAAAGACUAAU
rnacentral:rRNA from 1 species